rnacentral:rRNA from 1 species
GACGAACGCUGGCGGCGUGCUUAACACAUGCAAGUCGAACGGAAAGGCCCUGCUUGCAGGGUACUCGAGUGGCGAACGGGUGAGUAACACGUGGGUGAUCUGCCCUGCACUUCGGGAUAAGCCUGGGAAACUGGGUCUAAUACCGGAUAGGAGCCAUUUUUAGUGUGAUGGUUGGAAAGUUUUUUCGGUGUAGGAUGAGCUCGCGGCCUAUCAGCUUGUUGGUGGGGUAAUGGCCUACCAAGGCGGCGACGGGUAGCCGGCCUGAGAGGGUGGACGGCCACAUUGGGACUGGGAUACGGCCCAGACUCCUACGGGAGGCAGCAGUGGGGAAGAUUGCACAAUGGGCGCAAGCCUGAUGCAGCGACGCCGCGUGGGGGAUGACGGCCUUCGGGUUGUAAACUCCUUUCGCUAGGGACGAAGCUUUUUGUGACGGUACCUAGAGAAGAAGCACCGGCUAACUACGUG